rnacentral:rRNA from 1 species
GACGAACGCUGGCGGCGUGCUUAACACAUGCAAGUCGAACGGGGUUAAGGAGCUUGCUUCUUAACUUAGUGGCGAACGGGUGAGUAACGCGUGAGGAACCUGCCUUUCAGUGGGGGACAACAGUUGGAAACGACUGCUAAUACCGCAUAAAACCGUAAUACCGCAUGGUACAUCGGUCAAAGAUUUAUUGCUGAAAGAUGGCCUCGCGUCUGAUUAGCUAGUUGGUGGGGUAAUGGCCCACCAAGGCGACGAUCAGUAGCCGGACUGAGAGGUUGACCGGCCACAUUGGGACUGAGAUACGGCCCAGACUCCUACGGGAGGCAGCAGUGGGGAAUAUUGGGCAAUGGGCGAAAGCCUGACCCAGCAACGCCGCGUGAAGGAAGAAGGCCUUCGGGUUGUAAACUUCUUUUACCAGGGACGAACACAAUGACGGUACCUGGAGAAAAAGCAACGGCUAACUACGUGCCAGCCGCCGCUGUAAGAC